rnacentral:lncRNA from 1 species
UUGAAAUUAGCAAUCAUAUUUAUAUUUUCUUUCAUCUGUUGCCUCAUCAGUUUUGCUAGAAUUACUUAUGCAUCUGUUUUCUGUUCUAUAAUCUUUGUGUCUGAAUGAAAUUCCAAAUCUUUUGAGAAAAAUAUUAAGAGAAAUAAUUCUAUUUUCAUGAGGAUGAAGUAAAAAUUUGAAAACAGUUCAAUGGGGUAAUUUCAAAUGCUUAUAUGAUUUCAAACUUACAAGGAUGAAUUAUGUACAUCACUUUUUUCUGGUUAACAUUUUGAUAUGUAGUGAUAACAAAC